rnacentral:lncRNA from 1 species
AUAAUUUUAAAUAAUUAAUUAAACCAAUAAUUUCAAAUAAUUCGUAACCAAAUAUCCAUAUUUGAGUUUGACACGUGGCAAGCAUAUAAAAAGCCACGUGUCAGCUUCUCACAUAGGGUUAAUUAAGGAUUCUACUUUUAUAUAUAGUAAUAGGUUGGUCACAGAACAUAUGGCGAAAUUCUCCGUAAAUUAUUGAAUUUCAAAUUUUUAAAAUUUAACAUGGUGAAGUUUGAUUUCAGUAAACACUGUAACUUCUAUUUAAUAAAAGAAAAUUGUGGUUGUUAAUUCAGCUGACGCAUCAUCUCUUACGGAUAAUAAGAUUGUUGCAAAAUUGAUGUAACAAUUAAAUUAGCUCACAUGUUAUCGACACAGGUACAAAUAUGUGUACUUUUUAAUUAUGUAUU